UACGUAGGUGGCGAGCGUUGUCCGGAUUUACUGGGCGUAAAGGGAGCGUAGGCGGAUUUUUAAGUGAGAUGUGAAAUACUCGGGCUCAACUUGAGUGCUGCAUUUCAAACUGGAAGUCUAGAGUGCAGGAGAGGAGAAUGGAAUUCCUAGUGUAGCGGUGAAAUGCGUAGAGAUUAGGAAGAACACCAGUGGCGAAGGCGAUUCUCUGGACUGUAACUGACGCUGAGGCUCGAAGGCGUGGGGAGCAAACAGG
rnacentral:rRNA from 1 species